rnacentral:rRNA from 1 species
CCUACGGGAGGCAGCAGUGGGGGAUAUUGGACAAUGGGGGAAACCCUGAUCCAGCGACGCCGCGUGAGUGAAGAAGUAUUUCGGUAUGUAAAGCUCUAUCAGCAGGGAAGAAAGAAAUGACGGUACCUGAGUAAGAAGCCCCGGCUAACUACGCGCCAGCAGCCGCGGUAAUACGUAGGGGGCAAGCGUUAUUCGGAAUUACUGGGUGUAAAGGGAGCGUAGACGGUAAUGCAAGUCUGGAGUGAAAGGCGGGGGCCCAACCCCCGGACUGCUCUGGACACUGUGUAACUGGAGUGCAGGAGAGGCAAGCGGAAUUCCUAGUGUAGCGGUGAAAUGCGUAGAUAUUAGGAGGAACACCAGUGGCGAAGGCAGCCUACUAAACUGCAACUGACGUUGAUGCUCGAAAGUGUGGGGAUCAAACAGGAUUAGAUACCCCGGUAGUC